AACAAUCUAUCCAUCUGACCAGCAGCCAGGAGCCAUCGGUCCAAUCAGCCAUGGAGGUAAUGGAGCGUGUUACCCUAAAGGAGGAGGACAUGACUAAGCAGGAUUUUCCACGUAUAUAUUUUCACAAAGAACCUUUUCUAUGAAACUGUACUCUACUUUUAACCACAAAACGUAACCUAGCAUACAUUUUGCAUAAACCUCUUGCUCUACUUUUUCAAAAAAACUCCAGCGUCUACAUCACUGCUGAUAACAAUAUGGCCAUAUUCCCUGGAAAUCAGGGUCAAUUCAGAACUGCUGACCUUACAGUAAAGGGACAUUAUGAAGUGCAUGGAGAGAGUGACGAUGUGGGGGAGCAAGCCGGGGCGUCUGGACCAUUCCCUACCCACUUCUCCUUCCACCGACCAGCAAAUGCUGCUGCGGUCUCAGGUCAUAACUCAGCUUCAACUGCAAGGCCCUCUCCCAGAGCACCCAUGGCUGAGACAUUUCAAAGGACCAUCUUCAUUGCUGAUCUUGUGGAUGGCUGAUUGGAAACAAGCAAAACCCCGACAGUUUGAUUCUCAGAAUUUGAGGCGAACGUCAUGGGAAAGUAAGGUAAAUGAUGCCCUAGAACAGGAGGACUCGUUCAUCCUUACCGAUGACCAGGGAACCAGAUCUUGGACACAGAGGGAACCAGAGGUGAAUUAAUAAAUAAUAAUGAAUAUUUAUAACCCUCUGGGUUUAACACAACUGCACCUUUUUCUGAAAAAUUGUAUACUUUAUGUACUUCUAAAUAAACUAUCUUCUUCUCAGGAUCAGUGUUUUGGAAGGUUUGUGCUGUGAAGGAAAGAGAUUUGCAGCAGUUACAAGGAAGCAAAAAGAGGAGACUGAGAUGAUAAUGGCCUGGAUACAGUGUUUGAUACUAUCGAAGAGGUGGUCCUGACAGCACAGGGUCUUCUGGAGGUGUGAACUACAAUCAAAGAGCUGACAAACCUGGCAAGUUCCAACCGAAGAACAGUGUCCUUGACAGAAGCUGAAACAGCUGUAUUGUCUGCAGGGGUAAAU